ACCUUUAAAAGCUUGCUUUUAAAGGUUAGCGGCGGACGGGUGAGUAACACGUGGGCAACCUACCUGUAAGACUGGGAUAACUUCGGGAAACCGGAGCUAAUACCGGAUAAUUCUUUUCUACACAUGUAGAAAAGCUGAAAGACGGUUUCGGCUGUCACUUACAGAUGGGCCCGCGGCGCAUUAGCUAGUUGGUGAGGUAAUGGCUCACCAAGGCAACGAUGCGUAGCCGACCUGAGAGGGUGAUCGGCCACACUGGGACUGAGACACGGCCCAGACUCCUACGGGAGGCAGCAGUGGG
rnacentral:misc_RNA from 1 species